UGAGCUGUAAUGUUCACAGCGAAGGUCUGC
rnacentral:piRNA from 1 species